ACCGCAUUGGGCGUUAGGCCCGAACCUGAAGAAGGUGAAUCGACACACCUGACUGAGACCGUCCAGACUCUACCGGAAGCAGCAGUAGGGAUCCUCGCAUGACGAAGUCUGACGAGCAUCGCGCGUGAGGUGACGAAAGGCCUUCGGGUCGUAAAGCUCUGUUUGUUAGGGAAGAACAAGUACCGUUCGAAUAGGGCGGUACCUUGACGGUACCUAACCAGAAAGCCACGGCUAACUACGUGCCAGCAGCCGCGGUAAUACGUAGGUGGCAAGCGUUGUCCGGAAUUAUUGGGCGUAAAGCGCGCGCAGGCGGUCUUUUAAGUCUGAUGUGAAAGCCCACGGCUCAACCGUGGAGGGUCAUUGGAAACUGGAGGACUUGAGUGCAGAAGAGGAGAGUGGAAUUCCACGUGUAGCGGUGAAAUGCGUAGAUAUGUGGAGGAACACCAGUGGCGAAGGCGGCUCUCUGGUCUGUAACUGACGCUGAGGCGCGAAAGCGUGGGGAGCAAACAGGAUUAGAUACCCUGGUAGUCCACGCCGUAAACGAUGAGUGCUAGGUGUUGGGGGGUUCCACCCUCAGUGCUGAAGUUAACACAUUAAGCACUCCGCCUGGGGAGUACGACCGCAAGGUUGAAACUCAAAGGAAUUGACGGGGGCCCGCACAAGCAGUGGAGCAUGUGGUUUAAUUCGAAGCAACGCGAAGAACCUUACCAGGUCUUGACAUCCUCUGACAAUCCUGGAGACAGGACGUUCCCCUUCGGGGGACAGAGUGACAGGUGGUGCAUGGUUGUCGUCAGCUCGUGUCGUGAGAUGUUGGGUUAAGUCCCGCAACGAGCGCAACCCUUGAUCUUAGUUGCCAGCAUUCAGUUGGGCACUCUAAGGUGACUGCCGGUGACAAACCGGAGGAAGGUGGGGAUGACGUCAAAUCAUCAUGCCCCUUAUGACCUGGGCUACACACGUGCUACAAUGGACGGUACAAAGGGCAGCGACACCGCGAGGUGAAGCAAAUCCCAUAAAGCCGUUCUCAGUUCGGAUUGCAGGCUGCAACUCGCCUGCAUGAAGCCGGAAUUGCUAGUAAUCGCGGAUCAGCAUGCCGCGGUGAAUACGUUCCCGGGCCUUGUACACACCGCCCGUCACACCACGAGAGUUUGUAACACCCGAAGUCGGUGGGGUAACCUUUAUGGAGCCAGCCGCCGAAGGGGACAAU
rnacentral:rRNA from 1 species